AUGGACGGCCAUGACAACCAAGACGACAUCGAUAACCAAGGCGACCGAUGGCAAGAAGACACAUACGGCCAAGAGGAAGAAGACAAUGUGGACAUCGAGGGGAAGCCUUUUAUGCAGAUGAGCUCACUACCCAAGACAAUGCACAAAAGAGGAGGCAGCAAAGCAUUCCGACGGAAGUAUACACAAAAGGAUAAGGAUAAGUUGAUUUGCAAAGGUUGGAAGGAAAUUGGACAAGAUCCCAAGAUUGGCGCCGAGCAAAAAGGAUCCCAAGUCAUUUGCCCAAAGUUUAGGGAGCAAUAUGCCGCCCAAAAAAGAAGAAUGGAGGGCCGGCGUCCAUCGUUGAGCAUGGUGAAGGAGAGAAUCGGCCGAGGGGGAAGAUCAACUCCAAGUUGGAUGACAAACGUGAUGCGGCGACAUUCGCCUUGCAAGAAAGUUUGCAAAGGGUUCAUGACCCAAAAGGAAGCAAGAGAGAAGAGGAAGCGCCAAGAGAGAAGAGAAGCAAAUGAAGGCCUACAUCAAGAUACAAAAGAAGAAACUCGAGAUCGAAGAGAACGUCCAAAAGAGGAAAGUCGAGAUCGAAGAGAACGUCCAAAAACAGAGAGCUUGAUAUCGAGGAGAGUCCAAAAGCAGAAGCUUGAGAUCGAGGAGAGCAUUGCAAACACAAAAGCAAAGGAUGUGAGGCUCAAGCUAAUGACGAAGGGAGUGGAGAUCAUGACGGUAGACUUGAGCAAGAUGUCCUAA
rnacentral:rRNA from 1 species